CCAAGAGCCGUCAAAUGUAUCUUUGUGGGCUAUUCUUCCACAAAAAAGGGAUAUCGGUGUUGGUCGCCUACUGAAAGGAGAUUCUUUGUCAAGAGGAGAUGGAAACAGAAGAUGGGGAAGGUGUACCUCAGGAAGUUGAUGAAGAAGUUGUGAAUCAAUCACAAGUACUAGAGGAGGCACCAACAAGUGAAGAAAUGGCCCAUGAUGAGGGUGAUGUUGAAGGUGUACUUCCUCUUUUAGGAGCUUUAUUGCAUCCUUGGAUUCCAUAUCAGUACCUAAAGAUUGGAAGGAUGCAGUGAAUGAUCCUAAAUGGAAAGCAGCAAUGUUGGAGGAAAUGUAUGCUCUAGAAAAGAAUAAUACAUGGCAAUUGGUAGAAUGGCCGAAGGGCAAGGAACCAGUCGGAUGCAAAUGGGUUUAUACCAUUAAGUGUAACCCUGAAGGUAAAAUAGAAAGGUAUAAAGCUCGGUUGGUGGCCAAAGGCUACACACAGACUCGUGGUGUUGAUUAUGAGGAAACAUUUGCCCCUGUAGCAAAAAUGAAUACAGUAAGAACUUUGAUAUCUUGUGCAGCUAAUCUUGGAUGGAAUUUGUUUCAGAUGGAUGUAAAAAAUGCAUUCUUACAUGGAGACCUUCAGGAGGAAAUUUAUAUGC